UGCAGCCUUGUCAAAUUCAGUGGGUUCUUAACAGUUGACCCCACUGGCCAAAAUGGCUGCCACAGUGAGUGUAGUUGAUGGACCCCACCUCCUUCUUUCAUGGAGAGUUGGGAUAAAUAUCUGCUACAGACAAAU